rnacentral:rRNA from 1 species
AUGAACGCUGGCGGCGUGCCUAAUACCUGCCAGUCGAGCGAACGGACGAGAAGCUUGCUUCUCUGAUGUUAGCGGCGGACGGGUGAGUAACACGUGGAUAACCUACCUAUAAGACUGGGAUAACUUCGGGAAACCGGAGCUAAUACCGGAUAAUAUUUUGAACCGCAUGGUUCAAAAGUGAAAGACGGUCUUGCUGUCACUUAUAGAUGGAUCCGCGCUGCAUUAGCUAGUUGGUAAGGUAACGGCUUACCAAGGCAACGAUGCAUAGCCGACCUGAGAGGGUGAUCGGCCACACUGGAACUGAGACACGGUCCAGACUCCUACGGGAGGCAGCAGUAGGGAAUCUUCCGCAAUGGGCGAAAGCCUGACGGAGCAACGCCGCGUGAGUGAUGAAGGUCUUCGGAUCGUAAAACUCUGUUAUUAGGGAAGAACAUAUGUGUAAGUAACUGUGCACAUCUUGACGGUACCUAAUCAGAAAGCCACGGCUAACUACGUG